rnacentral:lncRNA from 1 species
AAAAAAAAUAAGGUACAAUGUAUUGCUUUUUCCUUAGUUCUUUGAUAAACAACAAAAAAAUUAAAGAAAAGGUGCUUAUGUUUGUUUUAUUUCUCCUUUUCGGGUUCGAGAAUUGCGCUGGUGGCAUUAGCUUUUGUUUUUAAAUCAAUUUCUCUCUUUUUUUAGUGGGUUGGGGAUGGGGGGUGGAACUCCGCCUAUGUGAUUUAAGGAAACACUUAUAAUUACAUAGCCGGUCCCAAGCCCGGAAAAAGGAGGGAGCAACCCUGUUUUCAUAGAGGGGAAAGUGAUGUAUUGACUAGAAAUGAAGAAAAGUUCUAUUCACAAAUAAGGAAAGACCUCCAAAAUUCGAGUCAAAGAUGAUUUUUGCUUAGGUGUAACUGUAAAUAAAGUAAAGUGAGUAUUGAUGAAAUUCAUUUUGGUCGGUGAUUACACGCACGAUUUGAGCAUUUUUGCAUCAUUUCUGUUGGUCAUUAUUCAACCUAUAUGUUCUCUGGAUACUAUUUCAUCUUUCCUGUUCAGUGUCCUAGAGCAUUCAUGUACUGAAUCAUGUGUACAUGGUAUGCUCAGUGACUCUGCAGCCCAAAUUUCAACUUGUUAUUUUCACCUGAUGAUGUGUUUGCUAAAAGAGACUUUCUUUCGGUUUGUUGAUUUCUCCAGGUGGUGGUGAUGAUACUAUUUACAGCAGCUAGCAACAGAAAUAAUGGCUAGCUUGUUGCUUGGCAGUGCUGGCCCAAGUGAUGUCCAAAGGCAUUUCCAAAGAAGGCAUUGGAGAAGCUGCAGGUCGUUUCCGUUACUGAACCUCUUUGUGCAUUCCCUAUCUGAAUCUUCUGUUCCAUCUGAAGAACCUUUGAUGCCACUAUGCCAGCUUACCUUGCUUGGGGGAACCACAAACAACUUCUUUUGUAUCCAGCUUUAGCACCAACAAACAAUAUUUCUUCCGCUAUGGUUCCUUCUCAAUUAAGGAUGGAUCGGAAAUUAGAUUCUGGGAGGAUGAGUGGCUAGGUAAUGCUACUCUCCGAAAACAAUAUCCAGCUCUAUACAAUAUUGUGCGUCACAAGGGUGAUACUAUUGCCAAGGUUUUGGAAUCAUUUUCCGCCAAAUGUGACGUUCAAAAGGGAUUUAAUUGGACCUAGACUCCAAUAGUGGAACAUAUUACUCCGACGGUUAACCAUGGUACACUUAUCACAAGGGUCCGACAUCUUUCGUUGGAACCUACAUGGGAAUGAGCAAUUCUCAGUGUAUAGAGUUUUGAUCCAGUCUUAUGUGCCAGAUGAUAACAAUUGUAUGAUCUGGAAGAUGAACAUACCCCUUAAGAAUAAAAUCUUUGCAUGGUAUCUUCGUCACGGUGUCAUUCUUGCUAAAGAUAACCUCAUUAAGAGGAAUUGUCAUAGAAGUAAGCAAUGUGUAUUUUCUCCGCAUGAUGAGACAAUAAAACAUUUGUUCUUCCAUGUAAAUUGGCUCGUUCUAUAUGGCCAGUCAUCCAAAUAGCUUCUGGCUUGUAUCCUCCUUAUAGUGUUGCUAAUAUAUUUGGCAACUGGUUACAUGAGAUUGAUCACAGGUUUAAAAUUCUUCUCAGGGUAGGAGCGCUUGAUGUUAUUUGGUCGCUUUGGCUAUGUAGAAGUGAUAUGGUUUUUUACAAUAAAAGUACUUCUCUUAUGCAGGUUAUCUAUAGAUGUAUCGGGAUGCUUCGUUUAUGGUCCUCUCUAUAACGAGUGGAGAAUCGAGACCUGUUUACGAAGGUGUGUACACGAUUGGAGGCUACGGCGAGGGAUACUUUCACCCAACAUGGGUGGCAGCAUGAUCUUAGGAUUGGGCCACCGAAGGUUUAGGCGAUAUACAGAUACAUUUUCUUUGUAUUUCGCCGCCUUCUUUUAUUUUGGCUUGUCGUGAG